rnacentral:tRNA from 1 species
GCGCGGGUGGAGAAACGGUAGACUCGCCAUCUUGAGGUGGUGGUGCCGCAAGGCAUGGGGGUUCAAGUCCCCCCCCGCGCACAA